rnacentral:tRNA from 1 species
GGGCCGCUAGCUCAAUCGGUAGAGCAUCAGACUCUUAAUCUGGGGGUUGAAGGUUCGAUUCCUUCGCGGCUCA